GAGUUGCGAACGGGUGAGUAACGCGUAGGUAACCUGUCUGGUAGCGGGGGAUAACUAUUGGAAACGAUAGCUAAUACCGCAUAAGAGUAGAUGUUGCAUGACAUUUGCUUAAAAGGUGCACUUGCAUCACUACCAGAUGGACCUGCGUUGUAUUAGCUAGUUGGUGGGGUAACGGCUCACCAAGGCGACGAUACAUAGCCGACCUGAGAGGGUGAUCGGCCACACUGGGACUGAGACACGGCCCAGAUUCCUACGGGAGGCAGCAGUAGGGAAUCUUCGGCAAUGGACGGAAGUCUGACCGAGCAACGCCGCGUGAGUGAAGAAGGUUUUCGGAUCGUAAAGCUCUGUUGUAAGAGAAGAACGAGUGUGAGAGUGGAAAGUUCACACUGUGACGGUAUCUUACCAGAAAGGGACGGCUAACUACGUGCCAGCAGCCGCGGUAAUACGUAGGUCCCGAGCGUUGUCCGGAUUUAUUGGGCGUAAAGCGAGCGCAGGCGGUUAGAUAAGUCUGAAGUUAAAGGCUGUGGCUUAACCAUAGUAGGCUUUGGAAACUGUUUAACUUGAGUGCAAGAGGGGAGAGUGGAAUUCCAUGUGUAGCGGUGAAAUGCGUAGAUAUAUGGAGGAACACCGGUGGCGAAAGCGGCUCUCUGGCUUGUAACUGACGCUGAGGCUCGAAAGCGUGGGGAGCAAACAGGAUUAGAUACCCUGGUAGUCCACGCUGUAAGCGAUGAGUGCUAGGUGCUAGACCCUUUC
rnacentral:rRNA from 1 species